GAUGAACGCUGGCGGCGUGCCUAAUACAUGCAAGUCGAGCGAACGGACGAGAAGCUUGCUUCUCUGUUGUUAGCGGAGCACGUGUGAGUAACACGUGUAUCACCUACCUAUCUUACUGGUAUAAUUACGGGACACGGUAGAUAAUCCCGGAUAAUCUUUUGCACCGCAGGGUGCAAUGGUGAGAGACGGUCUUGCUGUCUCUUAUAGAUGCAUCCGCGCUGCAUUAGCUAGUUGGUAAGGUAACGGCCUACGACGGGAACGAUGCAUAGCAGACGUGAGAGGGUGGUCGCCCACACGGGAACUUAGACAGGGUCCAGACGCCUACGGGAGGGAGCAGAAGGGAAUCUGCCGCAAUGGGCGAAAGCAUGGCGGAGCAAGGCCGCGUGAGUGAUGAAGGUCUUCGGAGCGUAAAACUCGGUUAUUAGGGAAGAACAGAUGUGGAAUUAACUGUGCACAUCUUGACGGUACCUGAUCAGAAAGCCACGGCUAACUACGUG
rnacentral:rRNA from 1 species